UGAGCCAAGUUUAGGGUUUUCUCAAAACCCAAGCAGUAUUGAACUGAAGAGUUUGAUCAUGGCUCAGAUUGAACGCUGGCGGCAGGCCUAACACAUGCAAGUCGAGCGGAUGAAGGGAGCUUGCUCCUGGAUUCAGCGGCGG
rnacentral:rRNA from 1 species